rnacentral:rRNA from 1 species
UGGGGAAUAUUGGACAAUGGGCGAAAGCCUGAUCCAGCAAUGCCGCGUGAGUGAUGAAGGCCCUAGGGUUGUAAAGCUCUUUUACCCGGGAAGAUAAUGACUGUACCGGGAGAAUAAGCCCCGGCUAACUCCGUGCCAGCAGCCGCGGUAAUACGGAGGGGGCUAGCGUUGUUCGGAAUUACUGGGCGUAAAGCGCACGUAGGCGGCUUUGUAAGUCAGAGGUGAAAGCCUGGAGCUCAACUCCAGAAC